ACAGAAGCCCCCAAACCAGAAAGUGACAAACCAGAGGGAGGAAAUCCAGAGGGACAGAAAGCAGAGAAGAAUACCCCGGAUGACAAGAGUAAGAAGCAGCAAACUGGAUUCCCACAGUCUCACUACUUUAUUGCACUUUAUCGCUUCAAAGCCUUGGAGAAGGAUGACUUGGA